UACGGAGGGGGCAAGCGUUGUUCGGAAUUACUGGGCGUAAAGGGCGCGCAGGCGGCUGCUCAAGUCAGGCGUGAAAGGCCUGGGCUCAACCCGGGAAUUGCGCUUGAGACUGGGCUGGCUUGAAUUCGGGAGAGGGAUGCAGAAUUCCAGGUGUAGCGGUGAAAUGCGUAGAUAUCUGGAGGAAUACCGGUGGCGAAGGCGGCAUCCUGGACCGACAUUGACGCUGAACGGCGAAAGCUAGGGGAGCAAACGGG
rnacentral:rRNA from 1 species